rnacentral:rRNA from 1 species
CUGGCGGCGCGUUUAAGCAUGCAAGUCGAGCGGCAAGGGCCUCGGGCCCCUAGAGCGGCGGACGGGUGAGUAACACGUGGACAAUCUGCCCCCCGGCCCGGGAUAGCCCAGGGAAACCUGGAUUAAUACCGGAUGAGACGGGACCCGCGAUGGCGGGAUCCGGGAAAGGCGCUGCGGCGCCGCCGGGGGAUGAGUCUGCGUCCCAUUAGCUAGACGGCGGGGUAACGGCCCACCGUGGCGACGAUGGGUAGCCGGCCUGAGAGGGUGGACGGCCACAUUGGAACUGAGACACGGUCCAGACUCCUACGGGAGGCAGCAGCUAAGAAUCUUCCGCAAUGGGCGAAAGCCUGACGGAGCGACGCCGCGUGAACGAAAGAAGGUUUUCGGAUCGUAAAACUCUGUUGUCAGAGAAGAACAAGUUGGAGAGUAACUGCUCCAGCCUUGACGGUAUCUGACCAGAAAGCCACGGCUAACUACGUGCCAGCCGCCGC